ensembl:lncRNA
GUUUAUUGACAAGCAGGCAGGCUGCAGAAAAAACGAAUGAGACGGAAAAUUUGUGACUCAGGCACUCGAGCGAAGCAUACGUUCUUGGAAGCCUGAAAUCACGUGGCUUAAGGGUUCAGCGUUGGCGCGUCAGAGCCUCGAUCAAGUGGAUCCCAUCGGGCGGUCAUUUAGACGCUGCCAUGCCAUACGUCGAAGGGUCUACAAUGUUUAGGCCCCCAACCAAUUAUGGCAUUUUGACAGAAACCACAAGCUGAUAAGAUGGCGGAUGGUCUUUCAUGACUGUGUCGAUGGCUUCAGCCGGACUAUUAUAUACUUACGGUGCUUAUCUAAUAACAGAGCCUCAAGUGUCUUGCCAUUGUUUUUGGGAGGAGUAGAGAACUUGUUAGCCCUUACGUGUCAGAUGUGAUCACGGAAUGGAAAAUAUGCGUGUUGCCCAUUUUAUGUUAGAAAGAAGGACUGAACAGUCGCAGCGUUAUUACAGGGGUUUUAGUAUACAACCGAAGGAUUGAAAGACUAUGGGCAGAAUUGAACAGAGUUGUAUCUAGACACUUUUAUAAAAAAAAAAAAAUUUACUUCAUG